rnacentral:rRNA from 1 species
GACGAACGCUGGCGGCGUGCUUAACACAUGCAAGUCGAACGGAAAGGCCCUGCUUUUGUGGGGUGCUCGAGUGGCGAACGGGUGAGUAACACGUGAGUAACCUGCCCUUGACUUCGGGAUAACUUCAGGAAACUGGGGCUAAUACCGGAUAGGAGCUCCUGCUGCAUGGUGGGGGUUGGAAAGUUUCGGCGGUUGGGGAUGGACUCGCGGCUUAUCAGCUUGUUGGUGGGGUAGUGGCUUACCAAGGCUUUGACGGGUAGCCGGCCUGAGAGGGUGACCGGACACAUUGGGACUGAGAUACGGCCCAGACUCCUACGGGAGGCAGCAGUGGGGAAUAUUGCACAAUGGGCGGAAGCCUGAUGCAGCAACGCCGCGUGCGGGAUGACGGCCUUCGGGUUGUAAACCGCUUUCUCCUGUGACGAAGCGUGAGUGACGGUAAUGGGUAAAGAAGCACCGGCUAACUACGUG